AUCUUUAAGAAAAAAUUUAAAGUUAAGCCUGCUCAAUGAAUAUUAAAUAGCCGCAGUAUAUCCUGUGCUAAGGUAGCAUAAUAAUUAGCUUCUUAAUUAGAAGAUAGAAUGAAAGGCUAAACGAACGAUAUACUGUCUCACUAAUUAAUAUAAAAUUACAAUUUUAGUCAAAAUACUAAUACAAAUUUGAAAGACGACAAGACCCUGAUAAACUUAUCAUUUAAUUGGGGCAAUUAUAUAAUAAAACCUUAUUUUAUCUAUAUCCAACCACACCAUGUAAUAUAAAAUAGUUACUACAGGGAUAACAGCGCAAUUCUUUUUAAGAGCUCUAAUUAAAAAAAGAUAUUACGACCUCGAUGUUGAAUUAGUUAUCUUUAAUGGAGCAACAUCUAUUAAAGUAGGGUCUGUUCGACCACACAAAAC
rnacentral:rRNA from 1 species